rnacentral:rRNA from 1 species
AUGCACGCUGGCGGCGUGCCUAAUACAUGCAAGUCGAGCGAACAGACGAGGAGCUUGCUCCUCUGACGUUAGCGGCGGACGGGUGAGUAACACGUGGAUAACCUACCUAUAAGACUGGGAUAACUUUGGGAAACCGGAGCUAAUACCGGAUAAUAUAUUGAACCGCAUGGUUCAAUAGUGAAAGACGGUUUUGCUGUCACUUAUAGAUGGAUCCGCGCCGCAUUAGCUAGUUGGUAAGGUAACGGCUUACCAAGGCGACGAUGCGUAGCCGACCUGAGAGGGUGAUCGGCCACACUGGAACUGAGACACGGUCCAGACUCCUACGGGAGGCAGCAGUAGGGAAUCUUCCGCAAUGGGCGAAAGCCUGACGGAGCAACGCCGCGUGAGUGAUGAAGGUCUUCGGAUCGUAAAACUCUGUUAUUAGGGAAGAACAAAUGUGUAAGUAACUAUGCACGUCUUGACGGUACCUAAUCAGAAAGCCACGGCUAACUACGUA